GGGAACUAGAAAUGUUGGAAGAGAUUCAAAAGAAUUCUUUUCUUUAGAAUUCUUUCUUGCUAAUAGAUCUGUGUGAUCCAAAAAUGUUGGUAGUUUGUUUGGGACAUCUUUGAUAUAAUAGCUUUCAUGAAUAUGAACAUACAUGAACCAAACCAUAAUAUUUGUUCAACGGUGACAACAAAGUGAAGUGAUGUACGAGUUGUGUGCUUGAUCAAGUUUAUUUUUAUUAGUUUUUUAAACCCGUGCGUGUGGCACGGGUAUCUCCACUAGUUCAAAGAAAAAGAAAAAAAGUUAAAGAAGGGCAUAUGAAAUCUCCAGUAGUCUUCCAAUAAUGUUUUUCAAUAAUCAAUUAAUA
rnacentral:lncRNA from 1 species